ensembl:lncRNA
CAACUGGAGGCACACACAGUGUAUGGAUCUGUGCAAAUUUGCUUAAGAAGAAGAAAAUAAGGAAGAUCCAGAGCUGACUGACCCAUGUGGACUUACGGAUGAUGAACUCAAGGCCAAACUGCUCAAAUAUUUAGUCGAAGCUAGACCCAUUGUAGCCACCACCAGGUCUAUCUAUGAGAGGAAGCUAAAAGGCUACUAGAACCUACCCAGCCCAGACAGAAUGGUGGCACAGGAUAUGCAAACCAGUACUAUGACAGUGAAGAAGAGGAGGAAGAGUGGGGUUCAGAACAAGGAAGACCAGAGCAGUGGAGGAAUAUCAGCAUGCUAAUGAUCAGAUGGUAUGGCACUCUCAGGAAUAAUAAAAACAUCAGUGUUUUAUGCCAUCGUCGAGAAUGCGGGUCUGGAGAGCUCCAGGCCACUAUGAAUUAAAUCCCAAGAGGAAUGCAGGGAAUCAUGGGAAUGUGGCUGAGUCUUCCAACAGCAGAGGGGAAGUACCGGGGGCAGUUGCCCCCAUCGCCUGUUACUCCUGGGUACAGAGCUGGACUGAGCAGAACAUCCUCUCUGCUAGGACAUACCACAGGAUCAGUGGUAACCCUUCUAGAAAAACUCACUCAUUAACUCUUCAAUGGGAAUGGGAUCUCUGCUCUUC